rnacentral:rRNA from 1 species
GAUGAACGCUAGCGACAGGCCUAACACAUGCAAGUCGAGGGGCAUCGGGGCGUAGCAAUACGCUGCCGGCGACCGGCGGAUGGGUGAGUAACGCGUAUGCAACCUGCCUUCAGCAGGGGGAUAGCCCGUUGAAAGACGGAUUAAUACCCCGUAACACAGGGGCUCCGCAUGGAGAUUAUUGUUAAAGGGAUACUUCCUUCGGGGGUAUUCCGGCCGAAGAUGGGCAUGCGUUCCAUUAGGUAGUUGGUUGAGGUAACGGCUCACCAAGCCUACGAUGGAUAGGGGAACUGAGAGGUUGGUCCCCCAACUGGUACUGAGACACGGACCAGACUCCUACGGGAGGCAGCAGUGAGGAAUCUUGGUCAAAUGGACGGAAGUCUGAACCAGCCAUGUCGCGUGAAGGAGGACGGCCCUAAAGGGUUGUAAAACUUCUUUUGCAGCGGAAUAAAGUAUUCCACGAGAUGGGAUAUUGCAAGUACGCUGCGAAAUAAGGAUCGGCUAAACUCCGUGCCAGGACG